GAUGAACGCUAGCUACAGGCUUAACACAUGCAAGUCGAGGGGCAGCGCAGUGUAGCAAUACAUGGGCGGCGACCGGCGCACGGGUGCGUAACGCGUAUCCAACCUUCCCGUUACUCAGGGAUAGCCUUCCGAAAGGGAGAUUAAUACCUGAUGGUGUUCAAAUUCCGCAUGUUAUUUGAACUAAAGAUUUAUCGGUAACGGAUGGGGAUGCGUGACAUUAGGUAGUUGGCGGGGUAACGGCCCACCAAGGCGACGAUCGUUAGGGGUUCUGAGAGGAAGGUCCCCCACACUGGAACUGAAACACGGUCCAGACUCCUACGGGAGGCAGCAGUGAGGAAUAUUGGUCAAUGGUCGGAAGACUGAACCAGCCAAGUAGCGUGAAGGAUGACUGCCCUACGGGUUGUAAACUGCUUUUAUGCGGGGAUAAAUGAUCCUACGUGUAGGUUUUUGCAGGUACCGCACGAAUAAGGACCGGCUAAUUCCGUG
rnacentral:rRNA from 1 species